AAGCUUACCAUUAAUAUUGGUGUCCAUUAAUCAUUUUUGUCAAACAACUGUUACUAAUUGAUACUAAUACUCCUCCACGACUCGAGAUAAACUUGUUUGUCACUUCUGUGUAUCCAUCUUCCUUCACUUUAUUGUAUUAGGAGUAUGCAUGUAGAUGCAAGUGUAGGUGUAAGUAAACGGCAAUACAAUGCUUGAUCAAUACCACCUGCAUGUCUACUAGUUUACGUACAACUAUGACAGUCACUUGGCUAUGAAAUGACACUGAUGCUCACUACAACUGUCCCUUAUUUUAAAUAUUUGAUAGUUAGUAACUAGUUCAUGAUUUAGGAAACUACUGUAUUUGGCCAAGUACCAGUUAAUGACUAGUUUGUGUUGCGGGAGCUGAUGUGUUCUUAUGUUAUUUUUUCUAUUAUAAAAGGUUUUGACGGCUGGUUAUAAAGGGGGUUUGAAUUUGCGAGUAGGAAUCUUUUCAUCAGUUAAUAAAGGGGGCGGAAAACUGUCGCCUGAACUUGAGAAACAGGUGAGCAAACUUGUGAAUUAAUGACAUGAUUUGUUCUUGUAGGUGGAACGUGCGCCUGAACUUCAAAAGCAGAUCAAUGCUGUGAUAGUUCUUUGCUGCCCAGUCCGUUGGACAACUGGACAGAAGUGAUGACAAUCAUCAAGGCUAAAAACAAGGAAGGAUGAAUGUGGUGCUGGAGCACUAUGACGAAGAAGUGAGAAGAAAGCAAGGCAUGCAUGAUCUAGGCAUGCUGAAUUUUCUGGGAAUUUGGAUCUAGUGCUGAUUUUGCUGAGAAUUUGAUGUAUAUUUGCAUGCAAACAAAAUUCAAAUGCUGGGAGUUAUGUACAUAUUCUUAUAAUACUAUCCUAAUUGGAAAAUACGUUGGCAUUGAA